GGACUGGCGGUAUGGGAUGGGGAUGCGUCUGAUUAGCUUGUUGGCGGGGUAACGGCCCACCAAGGCGACGAUCAGUAGGGGUUCUGAGAAGAAGGUCCCCCACAUUGGAACUGAGACACGGUCCAAACUCCUACGGGAGGCAGCAGUGAGGAAUAUUGGUCAAUGGGCGCAAGCCUGAACCAGCCAAGUAGCGUGAGGGAAGACUGCCCUACGGGUUGUAAACCUCUUUUGUUUGGGAAUAAAGUGCGGGACGCGUCCCGCAUUGCAUGUACCAUUUGAAUAAGGACCGGCUAAUUCCGUGCCAGCAGCCGCGGUAAUACGGAAGGUCCGGGCGUUAUCCGGAUUAUUGGGUUUAAAGGGAGCGCAGGCCGUGGGUUAAGCGUGUCGUGAAAUUCCGUCGCUCAACGGCGGACGUGCGGCGCGAACUGGUCCACUUGAGUACGCGGGACGUUGGCGGAAUUCGUGGUGUAGCGGUGAAAUGCUUAGAUAUCACGAAGAACUCCGAUUGCGAAGGCAGCUGACGGUAGCGCAACUGACGCUGAGGCUCGAAAGUGCGGGUAUCGAACAGGAUUAGAUACCCUGGUAGUCCGCACGGUAAACGAUGGAUGCCCGCUAUUCGCCCACCUGGGCGAGUGGCCAAGCGAAAGCGUUAAGCAUCCCACCUGGGGAGUACGCCGGCAACGGUGAAACUCAAAGGAAUUGACGGGGGCCCGCACAAGCGGAGGAACAUGUGGUUUAAUUCGAUGAUACGCGAGGAACCUUACCCGGGCUUGAAUUGCAGAGGAAGGAUUUAGAGAUAAUGACGCCCUUCGGGGCCUCUGUGAAGGUGCUGCAUGGUUGUCGUCAGCUCGUGCCGUGAGGUGUCGGCUUAAGUGCCAUAACGAGCGCAACCCCUCUCCGUAGUUGCCAUCGGGUGAUGCCGGGCACUCUGCGGACACUGCCACCGUAAGGUGUGAGGAAGGUGGGGAUGACGUCAAAUCAGCACGGCCCUUACGUCCGGGGCUACACACGUGUUACAAUGGGGCAUACAGAGCGCCGGCGGCCGGCAACGUCCGUCCAAUCGCAAAAGUGUCCCCCAGUUCGGACUGGGGUCUGCAACCCGACCCCACGAAGCUGGAUUCGCUAGUAAUCGCGCAUCAGCCAUGGCGCGGUGAAUACGUUCCCGGGCCUUGUACACACCGCCCGUCAAGCCAUGAAAGC
rnacentral:rRNA from 1 species